AUGUAUAAACCCUUGCACGGUGUGGGUACCCACCGGCCAGAGGAGAUGCUGGGUUAUGAGUUGUUCUAUCACACUCUGGGAGGGACAUACAAGUGGCUUCUGUGGCCAGGGCGAUGGCCCCCAGCCCAUCAUUGCUUCUGUUGUUUCUUCUGCUUGAAUUUGUUUUCACUGAAACUGAUUUUCUCACUGUUUUCUCUUUGUAAUGCUACACCUCAGAAUUAUGAAAAUAUACGGAAGUGGUACCCUAAGGUUAGAAUACAUAAGGGGUCCUGGAGACUGUUGGGGGCUACCUCUACAGCCUGGUUCUGUUGGUCUGGUGUGGGACAACGUGCUGUCUGUGAGCCUGCGCCUGCUGGUCUAGAAAUCUCCUUUGAGAACGGCUGCUGUGAACAUCUGGAACAUCCAUCAGAGGCUCACAGCAGGGGGAACCAAGAAGCCAGACCAAGGACAUCACCAUCUUGGAAAAUGGAUGGAGCUGUUACAUCUGGGCAUGUGGUCCAGCUGAGGGUGAGGACAUGAUUCUUAGUGUUGUUCUGGUCAGACUGCCUAAGGAGUGUCUUGUCCAAUUAGCUUUAAAACUGUUACUUUAAAUUGCCACCUUCUGUUGAUCUCAGGACUGCUGUGGGGAAGUGGAGGUUGAAGCUGCAUAUUGUAAACACAGCAGUGGCAGCUGUGACAGCAAGGUAUGGAAAAACCUCAGUGCUAAUGAGCCUUAUAUUUUUCUUGGGCAGGGACCUGGUGUUAGAGACCUCAAGCCAACAACAGAGAGAGAACAUAUCCAGCCCCCACCUCCUGCUGCCUGGGGUUAGGCAGCAGCUUGACUACUGUCCCACUGCAUGGGUCACACACUUCCCUAUCCAGACAAAGAAUGACCCUCGUCAAAUAGCCUAAGUCAUGUAUGUCUUUCUCUCCCCUGCCUCUGUCAUAGGUCACAUAUUAGCCAAGUCUGCUUUGUCACGAUGCAAACCUCCCACCCCUUGAAAACUAUUGAAAAUGGACACCUUGCUUUGUCUAGUGAGGCUGGAACGAUCCCUCAGACCUAUGUUAUACCAAUUACAUAAUAAAUCUCUUGCUUGAAGGACUUGCUCUCUGUGUCUGUGUCUCUCUGUGUCUGUCUGUCUGUCUGUCUGUCUGUCUGUCUGUCUGUCUGUCUGUCUGUCCCUCCUUCCUCUUUUUCUCUUAAACUUAAUAACUAGGGCAAUUUUAACUGGAAAUCAUGCUCACCAAAAUUCCAUAUUCCAUUUCCCACAACUUGAGAUGAUGAGAUUUUUCUUUCCCUUCCUUAGCUGACAAGAGCAGACACUGUGCUCAUUUUGUGUUAGGUUGUAAGUUUCCAAUUUCCUUCUUGAUGUAAUCAUGAGAUAGUUCCCUUUCUAUGGCUGGAAAAGCAUCUCCUUUGUGUUUUAAAGAAACUCAUUCCCUAAUAAGUGUAGGUUUCCCCAGCCGAGUGGAGCGCUGAUGUGUGUGUCUUGGAGGGAGCAGGGGAACUUCUUACGUAAAUAGAACAAAAAGAAAAAAAAAAUUCUGUAGAAAUUUCAUUGCUGCCUGGCAUUCUCUUUAUAUUCAGACAUUUUGAAAUACAUAGUGUUUGAUUUGAGGUUGGGUUUGGCUUAGAGUCUUAUGAUUUCUUUUGCUGUGAAGAGACACCAUUACCACAAUAAUUCCUUUAAAGGAAAAACAUUGCAUUGAGGUGGUGCCUUAGUUAGGGUUUUUAUUGCUGUGAAGGGACACCGUGACCACGACAACUCUUAUAAAGAAAAAUUUAAUUGGGGUGGUGAUAGGGAAUGUACUGUGUAUGUUUAUCUUAUUGAUUGUUAAAUAAAAUACUGUUUGGCCAAUGAAACAGCAAGUUAGGCAGGACUAGGAGUCAAAGAGGAUUCUGGGAAAUGUAGUAGAGAAGUACUGAUCAAGGCAGGAAGUGACAUAGCAAGGAGACUCAUAUUUAAGUGAAGGAGAAACAGGAAGGGCCCUCUUUUCCCCUCUGCUCCUGCUCCAGUGGCAGGAUGGGAUCCACAGCAAGGAGGGAUGCCAAUAAGGCGUCCGAUAAGAUAAGUCUUAUAAAAUAUAUAGGUUUAUGAUAGUUAAGACUGAGCUAACAGAUGAGAAUCCUA
ensembl:lincRNA